rnacentral:tRNA from 1 species
GCAUUCGUGGUGUAGUGGUCAGCACGCUCGACUCGUAUUCGAGAGGCCCGUGGUUCGAAUCCCGGCAAGGGCA